rnacentral:piRNA from 1 species
UGAUGGAGGACCUACCUUGAAACCAUUAAU